AAACGGUCUUUUAAAAUCAACCUUAUCUUUAAAUCACAGCGACAGCAGAAGCUGUUGUAGAUACACGAUGAUACAUAAUUGAAAAGGACAAAGGGUGAGGGUUUUAUUUAAAAAGAAUGGGGUCUGAGCCGUGGCCGCUUCAUCAGUCAGCCUUCGCCUGGUAAGUUCCUAGGGCUGUUGGUGUACUUAGUUCAGGUGGAGACUGCUCUGAUCACUUACGUAACCUUUAUUUAUUUUUUUUUCUUUUUAACAUUAAGAUGGGGAGAAAAUGUCCUGAAAAUGUUCCUACCACCUUGCUGCAGAUUCCCCUGGGGCUUGCGCACUGUUUGAGAAGGCGAGGCGUGAAGGAACAGCCUGGUUCGGUCACUGUCUGUGCAAAGUGCUUUUGUUUUCAGGGUGUUUUAUUUCUGUGAAACAAUGAAUGGUUAAAAGAAAAAAAAAAAGGAAAGAAAUUAAUGUAGGCUACAACACAGAAUUAUUGCACCAAAGCUGAAACAAGGGUAAAAAGUAGCAACAAUUGCAUAAUGGAACUAUAAAAAAGCUCCUUCCCUCUGCUUGCAGGACAUAAUACCAGCUCACAACACAAUAUAAUUAGAUUGCCACAUCACCCCUUGUAAAACCAGAAAGAAAAGAAAUGUAGGGAGGCAUUAAAACUCCUUUCAUUUUCUAAUGCCUUUGGAGAGCUAUUGGCCAUAGAGGACUUGCUCUGGCAAAAAGCUCUAGUGAGCUAUUAGGUUUUUAACUAUUUUAUAGUAUUUUUUAUUGUUGCCAGGCCUAGUUUUUCAGCGCAAUGACUUUGCCCUCUUUCCCUCCUCCAGCCUGUCGUACGUUUAUCAAUCUUACAGAUACCAUUCGCUAUAAAGAUAGGUCCGGGCUCUUCCGAACCGCGGUGUCCUGCUGCCAUGCCCUUCCUCCCCUCCGCUUUUUUUCGAGCCCAUUAUGCAGGUUUGUCAUGUGAGAACGCGUGCUCCCAGCGGUGUUGGAGGUGCUUGGCCAUAUGUCACGAGAUGAAACUUCUCUCUUUGCUCGAGGUGAAACAUCAAAUUGAUUCAGAUUUUCUGUUGAGAGAUGGAAGUUACUUUCACAAUAAUAUUCGCCCAUUUUCUCUUUACUGGAUUGUUAAUUUCACAAAGAGAUAUUGGAGAAGCUGUUACUGGAAAAAAUAAGCGCACUUUGAAUGGGAAAAUAGAGGAUUUAUGUUUAUAUAAAUAAACAUAGGGGGUAAGUAGGCCA
rnacentral:lncRNA from 1 species